CCUACGGGAGGCUGCAGUGAGGAAUAUUGGUCAAUGGACGAGAGUCUGAACCAGCCAAGUAGCGUGAAGGAUGACUGCCCUAUGGGUUGUAAACUUCUUUUAUAUGGGAAUAAAAUGUUCCACGUGUGGGAUUUUGUAUGUACCAUAUGAAUAAGGAUCGGCUAACUCCGUGCCAGCAGCCGCGGUAAUACGGAGGAUCCGAGCGUUAUCCGGAUUUAUUGGGGUUAAAGGGAGCGUAGGUGGAUUGUUAAGUCAGUUGUGAAAGUUUGCGGCUCAACCGUAAAAUUGCAGUUGAAACUGGCAGUCUUGAGUACAGUAGAGGUGGGCGGAAUGCGUGGUGUAGCGGUGAAAUGUUUAGAUAUCACGAAGAACUCCGAUUGCGAAGGCAGUUCACUGGACUGCAACUGACACUGAGGCUCGAAAGUGUGGGUAUCAAACAGGAUUAGAUACCCUUGUAGUC
rnacentral:rRNA from 1 species